rnacentral:lncRNA from 1 species
CCUGAGCCUCUUCAAGAACCUUUCAUUAUCAUCCUCAACAACCUUAAGUAUGCUCUCCAUCAACUGCUUCUUGUCUUGUACCCCAAGUUUCGCAACAUCAACUUCUUCAGUCACAUACCUCCCAUUGCUCAUGGCCUGUCUCAACAUUCCCUUCCUCAUCCUAUCAUACGUUGGCAGUCGCUCUAUGGCAGCCCACUUGAGCUCCUCCUCCUCAUCCACCAUCUGCUGCCUGCUGCUCCGCUGGAACACAUCUGGAGCAUUCCACAUUUCUCUAACACUAGUAGACCGCCAGCUCCUCCGGCUGCUACUCCGGCUGCUACUCUGCCUAGCUAAAUCAUCCACCCCCAAUGGUGGUGACGCCAUUUUUAUGGUCCAAAAGCAAUCAAAUCACUCACAACUCAAAUAUUUCUGAUAAUUUGCUGGGAAGCGAUUGGACUUGAUUAAUGUCCCUGGAAUUCGGGGCACGCUAAAGUUGAAACAAUAGUGAUCAACUAUGUAAUGCUAACCCUAGAAUGUGAUUUUCUUUCGUCCUUCAAAAAUUCUUCAACACCUUUUGGCCGAAGAAUUAUGAACACAUGUGAGAAAAGAGGGAGAGAUAUAGGGAAAAAAAAUUCUUCACAGUAAAUUCUGGUUGAAAAAUCAAACGGGAAUGUGUCAGCAAAAAUAAAAAAAAAAGUUAGAAAUCAACUGAGACUACUUUGAAUUUUCCUGCGUUUUUUUUUUUCCUACGCAAUUUACUACUUUUAGUACUUUUGUUGGUGUGAAUUUCUUUGUGAGCACUAGGAUUUUUAAUAACUGUCGCAGAAGUUGACCGCCCCAUAUUCUAGAUGGUCAUAUUCUUAUGUGGGCGAAUAAUUCAACACACGUGAAAUUUAUGAACUGGAGAAAAUUCCAAUAUUCUCAAUUUUCUCCUUUUCCUAUCUUCGAAACUUCGCAGGCUUUUCAUAUUAUUGUUGAGGCUAUUUGGUAUUGUUGAUGAAAAUGCUAAAAGUGUUUUUUGAUAACAAAAAAUACUUCUAAUUACGUUUGUAAAAAAAACAUAAAGUGCUUAUUGGUUGAAAUUCUACAGGCUCGUUUGGAUGUACUUUUAAAAUGACUGAAAACGCUUUUAGAGAAAAUAUUUUUGGAUUCCAAAAGCAUUUAAAGUGUUUUCUACAAGAAGCACCAGUUAUGUGUUUCUUCUAGAAAGCACUUUAAGUGCUUUUCAGGAUUUACUUGCAUGCUUACCAAAAAUUGGUUCUAAAAACAUUCGAUCAUUUUAAAGCACAUCCAAACGAGCUCUACUUCUAACUAUGUUUUUGCUUUUAAUAGAAAACUGAAAAUUUUAGGUUUUAAUGCAAGGGUAUGAUCUUAUAAGUUGUGACUCUGCUUUUUGGAAACUUGCUAUUGAAGCAGCAGUUUGAAGUUUAUUUUUCUCUAAAGCACUUCGGAUUUUCUAUAAAUCUAUAUCUAUAAAUCUAUCUUUUUGUAAUAAAAGUACUUCUAUUAUAAUCGCUUAUGAAGAAAAAUGCUUCUUAUAAAAGAUGUCUCAAAUAGCCCUUAACUAUGCUCAUAAAUUGGUAUGAGCACCAUUUAAAAUUGGUUUAACUUCAAAGUAAAAAUUUCUGUUUGAACUAGAUAAUGAGACUCUUCAAAUGGCAGUGCGGUGACACCUAACUUGCAUUGCACAAUUGCACUGUUGACAUCUCAUUGCCACUGCACUACCACUUGUGUCUCUCUAAAUUCAAAUAGUGUGUUGAAUUUGGCAUGUGUGACUGUUUUUUCUUCAUUACGGUUUUCUUCACGUAGUUUCAUCCUCAUAAAGUUUGUUCAAAGUGAUUUAUGUUUAACAUGACAGCUUCGACGUAUGUUUUGACCUUUUUUUAAUGAAAUCCCCAUGAUUAAAGUGAAUAGCUGUUAGAGAUUAUGAAAUAAUUAGUCCAACUAUAAAAAUUAAAUUUUAGGAUGUGUCCUCGACAAUUUGGUGCAUAGAUAGUUGUAUUAGCACAAUCAUGACCUAAGAGGGAGGGUUACUUUGCAACUAAGCAAGUUUAUUUGAGGUUUUAAUAGAACCCUUCUGACAUUUGCAUCUAACUUUCUUUUAGCAAAUCAAUACUAUUAUAUUUGUGACUUUUGUAAAUGUUUAGGAAAUUCAGUUAUAAACAAGUAAAGAGAAGUUGUAAUAUUUUCCUUUAGUAUAAUUAUUACUAUCGAUGUCACGGGUUUAUAGGGAAAUUAGUACAAACACCAACUGGAUUAUUAGGGGUGUUGACCAAAACUAAAAAUCUCGCCAGUUUACCGUCCAGACUCUAGUUUUAGUGUAGAUGUGCCAUUUCUGUAAUUUCCAUUAAAAAUUCAUCAUGUGUUAUGCACAUGAACCUUUUUUUCAGGUGUCGAUUCAAGGUAGAAACUCUGUUAACUACAACUUUGUUUUUUGAGGAGAAGAAAAAUUGUCCCACGAGUUUUUUUACUUAUUAUUGUUACAAAUGAUAUUACUACUAUAACUUGCACUAAGGGAGGGUUGAGGGUUUGAACUUGAACCGCAAUGUGUUAACUGAAUUCUUACUUACACUGAGUCAUCAAGGGGGUCUUAAGUCACAAAUAUACCCUUGGAAGGGUCUCAUAAAUUUUUGAUGUAAAAUCAUAAAGGUGGUACAUUCACACUAAAUCAUGAGUUUGGCUGAUUAAUUCUCAAAAAAAAAAAUGUCAUCUCAGGUGAUAUUUGUCAAUUUUCCCCCAUCUAUGUGUUGUACAACUUGUACUCAGCAGGCUGCUGGAUUUCUUAAAUAAAUAUCUAAGUUUGAAAAAAAACAAAGUGACAAAUGCCACACUUCCUUUUGGACGUUCUUAACUGUUGGAUGUGAUUGAAGAGAGAUGGAUGCUUGAAUCUAAUACUUCAUUCCUUAGUUUGAAAUUUCGUUUUGAUAAUUUUCUUUAGAGUUUUUAUGAGUUGCUUAUUAUAAAAUAUCAACUUUGUUUUCUGUCUAUUAUAACAAGUUAAUUAGUGAAAUCAAGGUCACUCUGAAUUACUUGAAUUACAAACUUACAACUUUAAAAACAUUAAGCUGCAAAUUUGAAUUUAAUCAACUUAGUUAAAAAGCAGUAUGUUUUACUCACUGCAUUCAAGUUCGACUUAUCUCUUGAUAGUUCAGAUCAAUUUUCUGUAAUUAAAAAAAAUUAUAAGCUAAUAAACAUUGAAAAGUAUACUGUGAACUCUGACAAAAAAAAAUUAGUGAAAUUUGUCAGCCAUUAGGGUUGAUAGGGUAUACAAAUAUCCUGCAAAGCUGUAUUAAGAUAAUGACAAGUACCUAAAAUCAAUUUUCUUCUAGUAAUCGUUGUUUUUUGACUUGAGUACGGUAGUUAGAGGUUGCCAAGAUAUUCAAAAGCUUCAAUCAAAAAUUACUCAAAAUUCUAGAACGAGGGGCUUGAAUAAUAAGGUGUUAAAAGUCGUGGGCAAAACCGAUCAUGCUUUUAUGUCUGACCUGUGACUUAACAUGGGAAAGGAUUCUCUCUUAUUCUUUUCAUCCAGUCCAUAAAGGCACACAAUUCGAGCUUUUGAAAUUUGAUAUAAUGACUAAAGUUAUUAUAAUUUUUAAAAAUGAAUAUUUAUUUGUAGUCGUUAAAUCAAAUUUCAAAAGUUCAAAUGGUAUACUUUGAUAGACUUGGUGUAAAAGUUCCGUAGAGGAUCCUUUCCCAUUUUACAUGACUCGUGAGAUAAAAAUAUCUUAACGUAAGUUGUCAUGGUCGAACACGCGCGCUCACUCACAUAUCUGCACAAUGUUUGCGCAUCGUAAUGAAAGUUAAGAUCACUUGUUUUGUAUGUGUGAUUUUCUGCAAUCAUCAGUACUCGUUUCUGAAUGUUGUUCCAAAUACUGAGAAUGAAUUCCACGAGAGAAUGGACUUUGUAUAUGUUUAUAAGUAAAUUGGAUUACUUUUUAUUGGCCAAUUGCUUUUAUAGUGGAACCUCAACUUUCUUUAUGGUAUCAGAGUAGGUUAUCUCACUUGUGAAGCCAAACGGUCACAUGUGCUUCACGUCACUCGAGUUGUGUUGUCCACGGGUUAAGCUUGAAAAUUCGCCACACUUGAGGGGGCGUGUUGAUAAUGAAUCUCACAUUGAUGAGAGAAGGGACCUUGCAUGUGCUUAUUAUUAGUAAGUUGAGUUACUCCUUAUAUUAUCAAUUGAUUUUAUCGUAAAAUUUCAUUUCUUUACCAAGUUUUACCAAUGGAUUUGGCAAUCUCAACUUCUCUGGUUAGAGUAAAAGGUCAAAAGUUAAUACAAAUGUUGUUACUGAAUGGCAUGGUUAUAUGCAUUUAUUUACUGUUGGCUUACGUAAAUAACAGGAUUUAGAGGAAAGAUUCAUUCUCGUGAGCACAGAUGUAGCAAACAAUUAUGAAGCUGAUUUUCCUGCGAUUUCUUACUAAUGUAGACUAAAUCCUUGUACUUGUAUUGUACCGGAUUAUUUCGAAUUGGAUUAGCUUAACGGAUUAAGCUGAAUUGGUUUGGCAUAGACUAAAUAAUAUAAGAAUAAUGAAAUAUUUGGUACAUUGUCAAACUAAGCUAAUGACAAAGAUAUUUUUUGUAUCUAAAAUUUGUUUUUCUAUUUUUUUUCGUCAAUAUAUCGAUAAUCACGAUCGCGCCGGGGAAAGUAUAAAUUGUGUGUAAGUGUUGACCUUAAAAACUACCAAACCUACGUGGCGCGCAGGCAGAGUAACUAAUGAGCUAACUACGUUCUUCGGUUGUAUGCGGGCGUACCAACUCGUCGGCCAAAUCCAUGCACUGACAUUUUUAUAUGCAUGGCGCAUGCAGGGUGGUAGGUUGAAGCUUGCAUCAAAUUUGAAGCAUGUGUCUUUGAUUAGGUAUCCUCAAGAUUUCCCCAGCCAGUAAAAAAAAUCUCACCUCAUUGAGAUUCAAGGCGGUGCAGGCCCACUGAAUGAGAAAUCCAACUCCACCGAAUUUCUUCUUGGUUACUCUCAGUAAAAUUGCCCUAUAAACACUUCAUGAUCCUCGCCUCUUCUGUAAAAGUAAAUCGUCAAAACGUCGACCAAACUCAGCCAGCCACUGUGCUUGACCACCUUAACUUGCCUACUCUCGUCCCCAGUCAAAGACAUGUAAUGUUCGUACUCAGGUCCUCGACCUUGCCGAUUCAGCCUCUUGGUCCGUACGAAGCGACCACCGUCCAGACUCCGAACGGUGACACAACAGAACUAAAGUCAACAGUGCCAUAAGGAGUGAGCCUCCGAGUCACACAUGAGUCCAAGAACGUCGAAUACACUGUGACAGAACUUGUCUUUGACACACCCAAGUCCUCAUAAGUAGAGACGUAAACCAAAUAAUCCUCCAUCAAAGUCGACCUCUUUCUCGUGGAAAACUGAACUCCCAUGGCCGAGUGAUGGGAAUGAAGAAUGACCGAAAAUGGGUAGAGCAUGCUGCAAAUGUUCUUUUUAACCGCUGAGGAUACCCAAUCUUAUCAGUUAGUUAUGUUGUGUGUUUUGACUGAAAGUAGUCUACCAAAGACCACCAAUAAUCAAUAAUUAAAUAGACAUAUGAUUCAGGUGAUGUGAGAAUCGGCCGAGCCAUGUGGUCGAGAACUACUGAGAACCCUCCGAAUAAAAAAUGUAUUCCGCAUUAAAAUUCCAUUCCUUGGUCCAAAAUUGUCUCGGCUCGGCUAAAGAAUGACUUUUUAAACCGAGCAUGCCAUAGUUUGGACCAAAAUUUUACCGAGCACACCAUCUUGUGGCCCCCCUUAUUUUCUCAAGUAUCGGCCCAUAAGAGCCAAAUGGUCGAGAAAAUAAUUUAUUCAUAUAUAUAUAUAUAUAUAUUUUUUUUUUUUUUUUAACAAACGAAAAUAAAAGUGACCAAACUUCAACAAGAAGGCCAACAAUGCUUUAUUCCAAGUCGAGAUCUUUUUAUAUAAAAAAUUUCAAUUUGAUUUCGCUUUAGGUCGAAUAAAGAAUCAUCUCCAAAUACCUUUGACUUGGCAAAAUAUUUUUCAUUAUCGGCUGCCGAAUGUAUUGGACAACUAUUAAGCCCCCCAGGCAUAAUAACUUCGCCAAUUUCAGCUCUUAACUCGAACAACUCAGCUGAAUGAGAUUUCUCUAUAUCGGCUUUAUCGCCAAUAAUCAUAUUGAUUGGCGUGUUUUGGCAUCUAAGACCAUGUCUCCAAUUACCAUAUCAAUUGAUGUGGUUUUAUGGUUUGAAACCGUGUAUUAGUCUUGUUCGUCAUUGGAACACUCCUAUGACGAAUCAUUUUCUAAGUCAAUUUUUGGCUUAUAAACUUGAACAUUUUCUUCUAGGCCCACCACACUUUCAGUCUCGACUGAACAAACAAGUGGCCUAGGUUAUUCUUUGGCCGUCUAGACAAUCUUCUUAGGCCGAAUUUUAAUUGUGGUCGGAACGAAAAAUUGCCCCUAGCCUUUUAAGCCAACUAUUCUUCAAAUGGAAUUGAUUUGAACCCAAAAGGAGUUUUCUUAUCGAGCCACUUGUAAUAUCGAGCAUAUAAAAGGGACUCCCUCACCACCAUUAGAUAGUAUCACCGCUUACUGAGCAAUCGCCUCGCCGCGAGCAUCAACUCUAGCCCAUCAUUUAUGUAUUGAGGAGCGAGCCCUUAUUCUAUAAAAGGGACUCCUUCACCGUCAAACGCCAAAAGCCGAGCCAACCAAGGUAACAUAAGCCAUGAGCCGAGCAGCCUCUCAGCAUGUGCUACUUCUAGUUGAGCAUCAUUUCAGAUUGAGCACCACCUCAUAUCGAACAUCAGUUCAAGACAACAUCUAGUUACUUCGGCCCACACAUGGACUGAAUUUCAAGUCUCCAACCAAAAGACUCUCUUGACUGAAGACUUGGGGGACUACUGUUUAUACCAUAUUUAGGGCCUCCGUAGUUAGACCUCGUAUAAAUACUCGGGGGACUUAAAUGUAAUUAUGUAAUAAAGGAAGAGGCAAAUAUGUAAUAAGUGAGGAGUCAUUAUUCUAUAAAAGGACCCUUCACCUUCAUAAUUUGAAGAGGCCAAUUCCUAAGGCUUCUCACCCCUCUCAAAGCUCUCACUCUCAGAGCUCUCUCUCCCUCAAAUAAAUACAUAAUCAGUGUGGACGUAGCCCAAACCUUGGGGUGAACCACGAUACAUCUUAUGUUAUUUACAUUUCUUGCAGAUUCACGGUCAAAUUUACGUUGUUCCAAGACCUCCGAUUUUGUGCAUCAACAGAUCUUGUACGCUGUGAUGAACCUUCACCUUUAUCAUUUGAGAGAAAGACUUCCGCCUUUCUUCAUUUGCUUCAAUGAUCCGGCCAAUAAGUUUUUGUUGCUCGACAAUUUCCUUGAAUAGGCGCCGAAUUUCAUCCUGAUUGUGAUUUUGAUAUAUCAUGUGAACUUCGUAGUUUUAGCACUGGGUUCUACUGGGUGUGCCAAAAUGUUGACCCUAAAAACUACCAAGCCUAUGUGGCGCACAGGCCGAGUAACUAAUGAGCUAACUACGUCAUUCGGUUGUAUGCGAGCGUGCCAACUCGUUGGCCGAUCAGUAUAAUAUGCUGAUGUUGCGUUCAAUGCACUGCCAACUUCUCGAUCUUGCGAUUGCGGCCGAUCUUGCGAUUGCGGCCGAGGAAUGAACACUCUCAGCCUUCGGGUUCUAGAGCCUGAAGACAAGGCUGCUAAUCCUGCGAAGUUCACGGAUAUUUGGCACCGGGUUUGGUCACGGUGAUUAUAUUCCUGAUAGUAUAAGCACGCCGAACUGGCUCCAAACUGUACAGACACAAGUACUCAAAGGAAAUAUAUGUCUUGAUGGUAAACGUGGUUCGACCGUCAGAAUGCCAAACUCUAAACCCAACUUAUGAGUAUCCAAUCAUAAAAUAACUCGGCGUUCAAUGUGCCGAGCCCAGUAAUUUGUAACACCUCACUUCGCCGAGAAGGCUAAUGAGGUGACCUCUACCAAUAAGGAUUCGAAAAUCCUUCUAAGCCGAGACUUAGAUAGAUAACCAGUCGGCCUCGACGCAGUGCUGUUUAUCCAAACUGAAGGUGCUUUGGGGUCGGCUAACUCUACGGCGGCAAUGCUGUUUAUCCAAACUGAAGAUGUUCGCCGGUUGCCUUCACAGUGCUGUUUAUCCAAACUGAAGAUGUGUCGGCGGAAAAGAAAAUGAAAAAUCUCAAGGUUGUUGAAAUGUUUUGCGUAGAGUGAGAACUUGCGCAGGGCAGUUUGUGUGUUGAAUUGGAGAGGGCUUUUACAUUAUGUGCAUCUUUGUAUUUAUAAUAUCGAACCACACGAUGGCCACCUUGUAGAGCCUUUGCCGUGAACAACAAUCAUGUCUUGAUAUUAAAGGAUAAUCAACCAAUGUUUGAUAAUCAUAUUGAGCAAUCCUUAUCAACACAAUUCGCGACAUGCAUGGCUGAACGAGUUCCCAAUAUUCAUGCAGAAUGAAUCUGACUUUAUAAAGGUCUUCAUGUUGACUCACAGUAUAAAAGCAUAUGCCAAUAUGCUAAAUCUUUUAGCAUAAAAACCAAAGGUUAAUUAUUUGAUUGUUGCCAUCUUAUCAUCACCAUCAUCCAAAAAGUCCUCGUGUUCCUUCAUAACAACCUACUACAGUCCCACUUCAACUCAAGGUCUUGCAUGCAAUCCCUAUUUCCUGUAGAUGUGAUAAUGCAUGCAAUUGCAUUAUCCCAUUUUAUUAAAAUACCAUGGAUAUUUGGUGAUGAUAAUUACCCCAUCUUACGUGCUUCAUCAUCUAAUGUCGUGCCUUGUAAAUUGCAGUCAUAUCGCUCCACACGGCAUUGCCAGAUUCUAUCAAAUCAAUCUUCUAAUGAUGCAUUACUUCACGUGGCCAAAGUAAUACAUGAAUAAGACAAAGGCAUAUGCCCAUUAUUCCAUUUCGUUCAAACCGACUGGGAUCUUAGAUAAUAUUAAGUUAAAAUUAUUUAAUAUACUAUUAAGAGAUAAUAAUUAUGAUUAAAACCACAAUAUUAUCCCUCAAUAAUGAUAAGAAAUUACCUUAACAACUCCACGAAGGUCUAGAACUCUACUCAUUCAACGGUCUCUAUCGUUCGGGCCGAUGGUGUAAUUUUAGGUCCAAACAGUAAGCCUUUCGGAUUUUGGGGGUAUGAUUUAACUGCGGUUUUAUUGGUGGGAGCAUUUUUUGCUCACUUCUGUUUGACUUUUACAAAAUAAAAAACUCUCAAAUUUUAAGAAAUGGAAAGAAAAAAAAUCCCAGCAAAACACAUGCCUCAAACUCGCCAUGGCUAUCUUCUCUAUCCCUAAACUCAGCAAAUCACAGCCCAAUAUCUCAAGAAAUUCAUUGGAUCUUGGCUCAUUUGGAUGAGAUUCCAUGAAGAUAGCACACAAUGGUGGAGCCACCUUACGGCCAUGGUAUGUCACAGCCCGUCCCGGAAUUUUAAUUCCGAUGACGUGAAAUUACAGAAACGCCCUUAAACGGGAUUAAGGUGCGUCAUUUAUCUAUUGGUUUUUACCUAAAUCCCCUAAUCUAUAUUAAUUGGAAUAUUAUUUAGUGUCAGAAACAUAAACUUAGACUUAGGGUUACAAUUACAUACUAAAGUUUUAAUGUUGGUUUUGGAAUUUAUCACGUGGGAUCCCCACCUCCUGAAUUUCUUCCCCAAAACCCGUAGGUUGUCUCUCUCUUCCUCAGCUCUCCCUAGUCACUCUCUCUCUCUUUCUUCAUUUCAGAAACACUCUCUCACUCUCUCUCUUACUCUCGAACUCACGGCAAACACCAAGAACAACCACAAUUCUACACGAACGUCCAAUCUAAGAUCACCAUCGUGAUCUUGGGAACUUCACGAGCACGGGGGUACAAGUUUCAGGUGAGUUCUAUUUCAAAAAACCCUAGUUUCAAAUCACCCCGUGGAUUUGCACUGUUGACAAACUUUAAGUUGGCCGUGUUUUAGGUUAAACAAAGCUCACAGUGAGCUUAAGGAGGUCACGAGGAGGCUCGGAGUGCCUUGUUUGAACAAAAUGGACGUCGGGAUCGUUGGGUUCGAGUUUGGCCGAAUUUGAGGAAUUUUGGAAGGUAUGAUCUAGUUGUUUUUAGGCCCUAAAACCUUUCCAACGUGAUAGUACAUGUUAAAUGCUUCAUUUUGGUAUAAAAUACGAAGAAAUUGGUUGAAAAACGAAGGAGAAUAGUGGGUUUGAAAAUUUUCCAGAAACCGGCGAACAGUCGCCGGCGACCGGCGACUCGCCGGAGAAGACAGGGAAUAUUCCAUCAAAAACUGACGGAAUAUGCCAACGCCGUUACCGUUACCGUUGGAUAUUUAACGGAAAAUGCUAGGAUUUAACGGAAUAUUCCCUAACGCCGUUCACUGUAGCCGUCUGUGUGCAUGUCACGUGGCCGCGCGUGGGGGCGCGUAGGUCCGUGACACGUCAGGCGCGUGGGGGCGCGUGAGACCUCCAAAAAUUAUUUUAAAAAUAUAUGGGGAUGAUCCUGAGGUUGUGUAGGUCACGGUGGUAUAUUCAUAUACCCAAUUUGAGCAAUAUAUGAGGAGUUAUUAACUAAGAUUUGGGUUAGGCGUUAAAUAACGUCAAAAUGGUUACUUUUGUAUAUAGGUGAGGUUUAUGCGGGCAUCGGGCAUGGCCAAGGGAUGCUCAGGGACUUACGAGACGUCGAUGUAAUAUGUGAGUGGGCAGUUUUGUUUUCCGUAUAUAUAUAUAUACUUGACGCUUUCCCAGAAAUUGAAUUAGAAUGAAAUUAUGUUUUAAAUGAAAGGUAUAUAGAAUGAUAUGAAAACGUGAAUUGAAAGAUCAUGCAUAGAAGUAUAUGAAAUAUAUAUGGAAAUGUAAAUUGAAUUGCCAUGCAUGAAAUGAUAUGAAAAGUAUGAUUUGAGAUAUAUGAUGCAUAUGAAUGAAUGUUGCGGCGGACGCACAGGUGAGUAUCAGGUGAGUAUUUAAUUACUGUUAUGAUGAUGUUGAUGUAUAUUGAGCUCAAAUCCUGCACCUUGGUUUAGUGCUUAUAGUAUUCACCGCAUCGCACGCUCGCCUUGGAUCCAAGUAGAUGCUGGUCGCACAGUCCACGCGGAGUGGGUGCGACGGGCCAGUCGAAGAGUGUUAGUGAGAUUUCGACUGGUGGGUGACCUUAGAUUAUGUGCACAGAUGAUUAAUGAGAAAGCACUAGAGCGUAACUUGUGUGCAGAAGGCCGGACGGGUCACAGAGGUGACUCCGGUAGAGUGAUAGUGAUAGAUUUUGAGCUCUAGGUUCAACCGUACAGGCUAUUAGAGGGCCUCCGGUUGAUUACUUUCUUGCACCUGAUAUGAUUAUUGUUGAUGCAUCCAUAUUUAACUGUUGAAUUAGACAUGGCAUGGCAUGAUUGAUAAAGAAAAAUGUUGAGAUAGUAAAAAUGAAGUUUUGAGAAUAUAUAUGUAUAUUUAUAUUUUACAUUCUGGGAAAGUAUACAGGUUUUACAGAGAGGGGUUACAACGUUUUGAGAAAUGUUUGGAUUUGGAAAAGAAUUGUUUUACUGACCCACUCAAUUUUGGUUUUGCGCCCCUCCAGGUUAAAGAAUAGCUGAGGUGUGGUGGCUACGAGGAAUUCGACGAUGUUCUGACAGAUUGGACAAAAUUAGGACUCACCUUCGGGUGUAUCAACUUAUAAAUUGUAUCUUAAAGCUUCCGUACUGUGCAAAUGGUUACGUCACUCUCACGUGACGGCCAGCAUGCCCUCCUUCGGGACGGGGUGUGUCAGUUGGUAUCAGAGCAUGGUUGCAAUCUUGGACAUUUUGAGAAGUUCUAGUGAAUUCUGUCAGAACUACACCGCCUCGUAGCAAGCCACUUAGUUAGAGGAAUUUAGUCUCCCUAAUAUAGCGGUUUAGGGAAAACUAUUAUUAUGGUGAUUCAAUCUAUUAUAAAAAGGGACAUUUUAAGACGGAUUAUGAGUCGAAUUUGAAUCACCUUAUGAAAUGAUGAACCUGAGGGAGCGAAGUAACGGUUUAACCAUUUGGAAAAGAUGUUUCAGAUUAUGCAAGUCAAAGGAAUCUUCCUUCUGACAAGGGGUCGAGACGACUACCUGGUUUUGGGUAUGAAUUUGUAUCCUGGUGGAAACAGGAUUGUUAAUUGUUGUCACCGGAGAAAACAGCUGAUUGAGAAUUAUUUAAGGACUUGUUUAAGGAAAAGUUUAUCCCUCCGGCAUUUAUCGAUGGUAGUAAGCAAGAGUUUGCAAAUGUGAAUCAAGGAAGUUGACGAUAAAUGAAUAUUAUAGAAAGUUUUCAGACUUGCCUCGUUCCAUCCAGAUAUUGUUGUUAAUUUGGUGGAGGUGUUAUGUUGUUUUAAGCUGGGUGGCAAAAAGGGAAGUGGUAUUUUGGGUGACCACUAUCCAGUGUAGUUCUUAUCAGGAGUAUGCUAGAUGUUGUUGAGUCUUGAGGACUCUGAGAACAUGAGCAACGAGAAUAAAGAAGAAUAAGAAAUGAAUGGGAAUUAAAAGAAGACGAUAAAGUUAAUGAUUCGUCAUAUCAAUGAUAUAGAAAGAUUCAGAGCUUCGAAAGAAGUGAAGCUAGAGUUAAUUCUUCCAGCUGAGGUUUUAAUGUCGCUGGUCAGAAUAAAAGUGAUGGAUAUACUGGUAAUCCCAGAUAUUUGAGACAAGGUGUCUCGAGUAAAGGAAAUGUACCUUGUGCAACAGGUACAAAAUUAACACUUUGGGAAGUGUGAAAUUAAUGAAUGUGUUUAUGUGAACAGAGGGGACACAGAAUUGUGAAUCGUCCCUAAAAAUCAGUUGUACCCAACAGUUUUCUAUGACAUCGUAGUAUCGAUUCAGCAGGUUUAUGGAUUUAGUAGUUUGGUCGGAUUGACCGUGGGUACAGAGAGAUUUGAUGAGUAUGUUCAGCCAUACAGGCCACGAGAGGUGGAUUCGACUGACGCAUGAGAAAUUGGUGAGUUAUAGGCUCGGCCGUAUCGACCACGCGGAGUGGAUCCGGCCGACGUAUUAUUGAGAUAAGAGUUGAAUCAGCCGUAUUGGUCAUUCUAGUUGACUUCGGCUGAUAUAUUUCUUAUUAUGUAUGUUAUUACUUAGAGAGUAGUAAAUAAAUGUAGUUGAGACGAGUGUAUGUAUUUUGCAUUGAGUGGCAAAAUAGUAUUGUUAUAUCUUUGAGAGUGGUUGCCUACUUAUCGAGACAACGAUGAUUUAUCAGUAUUGCGGGCUGCAGACCGUAAUAUUAAUAACUCAUUCGUGGAUUCGUUAAGCAAGCAACCUGGUAGAUUAUUUUAUGUUAGUAUUGUACUUAUUUAGAAUGCUUAUUAAUAAUAGAAUAUAUAUUGUAUCAGUUAAUUCUGUUUCAUUAGAUUGGUUGGUUAUAAUUGUGACUAAAUGGAUUGUUACGGGAAACCAGUCACUUUCCAUCGAUCUGGAUGAUCAGAGAUUACCUUAAUGAGUGGGCAUGCAAAGUGAAGUGAGUUCAGCCAUUAUUUAUGCUGUGAAAGCAAAGAGAUUGUUUGAAAGGCUGCCCAAGAAUAUUUAGUUCAUGUGGUACUAAAGGAUGUUGCUCGGAGAAGUGUGAAAAAAAAUAAAUAAAUAAAUAAAAAAUAAAAAAUAAAAAAAAAUGAAAAAGGGGUUAGACUUUUCUUGAUGUCUUCCCUGAAAGUAUACCUGGAUUGCCUUCAGGCAGAGAUAUGAGGUUCACUAUUGAUUUGUUGCCAGGUAUAAAUUUAUGUUAAAGAUUGGUUCAUGAUGAGUUAAGGGAAUUGGAAAUUCAGUUGAAAGAAUUGGUUGAUAAAAGUUUUAUUCAACCUAGUACAACGCUUUGGGGGAGCCCCAGUUCGUUGAUGAGGAAGAAAAUGGAUUUUUAAGGCUAUCCAUUGAUUAUAGAUAAUGGAAUCGGGUAACGAAUGAGAACCGUUAUCCAUUGUGGUGUAUUGACGCUCAUUUGAUCAGUUCAAAGGUGCUUGUAUAUUUUCAAAGAUUGACUUGAAGUCUGUCUAUUAUCAAUUGAAGAUUAUGAGUAACGUUGAUCAUAAGAUGGUUUUUCUGGACUUGUUAUAGUCUUUAUGAAGUUUGGUGAUGCUAUAUGGAUACUCAUGCUGUUUUAUGAGUUGAUGGAUGAAGUAUUCCAAUAAUGCCUUGAUAAAUAGAUAUCAUUUUCAUUGAAGAUAUCCUGGCAUAUUCUGAGCCAGAGCAGAGCAUGUAAACGUAUUAAGUCGGUGGAACAAAGAUUGGAAGAAUGUCGAUUGUAUGCUAAGUUUAGCAAAUGUGAAUGUUAGAUGAAUCAAGUAGCAUUUCUGGGAUAUGUUAUAUAUUCUUAAGGUAUUCAAGUGAAUCCUUAAAAGAUAGCAGAAAUUGAGAAUUUGGAACAACCACGAGUCGUAAUUGAGAUUUGGAAUUUCUUAACUUACCAGGCUAUCUUGGAUGGUUGUGAAAGAUUUUUCAGUCAUUGCUUUGUCAUUGACGAGACUGUUGAGAAAGGAGGUUAUGUAUGAGUGGGAAGGAAAUUGUGAGCAAAGGAUUCAACAACUGAAGUAUUUCCUCACUCAUGCACGUAUUUUAGUAAUCCCAGAGAAUAGUGGUAAUCAUAAAUUUUUAGUGAUGUUUCUUGAAUGGUAUUGGAUGCAUGUUGAUGCAAAUGUUAGGGUGAUUGCAUACGUUUCACGACAAAUGGAAUCUCAUGAGAUGAAUUACCCUACUGGUGAUUUGGAAGUCACGAUUACCAUCCUUGCUGUGAAGUUAUGGAGACAUUAUAUUUUAGUGAGAAUGCAAGAUUUUACAAAUCAAAAGAGUCUCCAAUAUUUGUUUACUCAGAAGGAUUUUGAUAUGAGGCAACAAAGGUGGAUUGAAUUACUUAGUGAUUAUGAUUGUACGAUCAGGGUGAUCGUGAAUUGUUCUAGCUGAAGCACUUGGUGAGAAGACUACAGUAAGAUUAAUAUCUGGCACGUUUGCCAAGAGUAUCAUCUUGUGGAUUGAAAACCAACGGAAGAAAAAUUAAGAAUGGAAGAUCGAGAAGAAGUUAUACUUGUUAAGUAACAAGUUAGUACAUUUACUCCAGUGUUGAGUAACAACCUUUCCCAGACAGUGCAACAUUACUUAUUUGUUUUUAUGGAAAAGAGAAUUGGUUUACGGAACUGCUGAGUUUCUUAAGUAUGUUGGUUGUGCAGUUUCCGAAGUAACGCCAUAAGGAUCAUGAAAUGUGUCAUGUGAGUCGGUUUUUGAUGACUUGUGAAUGGAAUGUUUCUGGGUAGAGAAAUAUUCGAUCAAGAAAGAGUUUUAGUAGACCUUGAGACUAUGGAUGAGUCUCCUCAAAGUAUUCAGGUGAUUAAGUUAACCUGAAGUAACCAGGAAUGGCAAAAGAGAUCAACAGAUGGAUAUGCCACUAAUUGAGUGUGUAAGGUAAAUGGUUUGAUAUUUUUGGAAUUUCACCAUGAACAGAAAUAGUAAGAUUUAGAAAGGAAGACAAGAUAAGUCUUGAACACAUCAGUCCGUUUUGAUCAUUAAAGGAAUCGACGAAGUUGCAUACAAGUUUGUGAUGCCUUCAGAAUUGGCUAAGGUACAUAAUGUGUUCCAUGUCUCGAUGCUUCGGCAUUAUGUGUCAGAUCCUUCACAUGUGAUUCCUCCUCAACCAUUGGAAAUUAAUCCGGAUUUGACGUAUGAUGAGGAACCAGUGACUAUACUGGAUUGGAAAGAUAAGACUUUGAGGAAUAAGACCGUGAGCUUGGUAAAAGUAUUGUGGAGAAAUCAUUCAGCUGAAGAAACUACUUGGGAGACAGAAGAAAGGAUGAGAGAUAUGUAUCCGAGACUAUUCUAUGAGUUUUGAUGUUAUGGUUGGUGACUGGAAUUUCGGGGACGAAAUUCUAUAAGGAGGGGAGAUUGUCACAGCCCGUCCCGGAAUUUUAAUUCCGAUGACGUGAAAUUACAGAAACGCCCUUAAACGGGAUUAAGGUGCGUCAUUUAUCUAUUGGUUUUUACCUAAAUCCCCUAAUCUAUAUUAAUUGGAAUAUUAUUUAGUGUCAGAAACAUAAACUUAGACUUAGGGUUACAAUUACAUACUAAAGUUUUAAUGUUGGUUUUGGAAUUUAUCACGUGGGAUCCCCACCUCCUGAAUUUCUUCCCCAAAACCCGUAGGUUGUCUCUCUCUUCCUCAGCUCUCCCUAGUCACUCUCUCUCUCUUUCUUCAUUUCAGAAACACUCUCUCACUCUCUCUCUUACUCUCGAACUCACGGCAAACACCAAGAACAACCACAAUUCUACACGAACGUCCAAUCUAAGAUCACCAUCGUGAUCUUGGGAACUUCACGAGCACGGGGGUACAAGUUUCAGGUGAGUUCUAUUUCAAAAACCCUAGUUUCAAAUCACCCCGUGGAUUUGCACUGUUGACAAACUUUAAGUUGGCCGUGUUUUAGGUUAAACAAAGCUCACAGUGAGCUUAAGGAGGUCACGAGGAGGCUCGGAGUGCCUUGUUUGAACAAAAUGGACGUCGGGAUCGUUGGGUUCGAGUUUGGCCGAAUUUGAGGAAUUUUGGAAGGUAUGAUCUAGUUGUUUUUAGGCCCUAAAACCUUUCCAACGUGAUAGUACAUGUUAAAUGCUUCAUUUUGGUAUAAAAUACGAAGAAAUUGGUUGAAAAACGAAGGAGAAUAGUGGGUUUGAAAAUUUUCCAGAAACCGGCGAACAGUCGCCGGCGACCGGCGACUCGCCGGAGAAGACAGGGAAUAUUCCAUCAAAACUGACGGAAUAUGCCAACGCCGUUACCGUUACCGUUGGAUAUUUAACGGAAAAUGCUAGGAUUUAACGGAAUAUUCCCUAACGCCGUUCACUGUAGCCGUCUGUGUGCAUGUCACGUGGCCGCGCGUGGGGGCGCGUAGGUCCGUGACACGUCAGGCGCGUGGGGGCGCGUGAGACCUCCAAAAAUUAUUUUAAAAAUAUGGGGAUGAUCCUGAGGUUGUGUAGGUCACGGUGGUAUAUUCAUAUACCCAAUUUGAGCAAUAUAUGAGGAGUUAUUAACUAAGAUUUGGGUUAGGCGUUAAAUAACGUCAAAAUGGUUACUUUUGUAUAGGUGAGGUUUAUGCGGGCAUCGGGCAUGGCCAAGGGAUGCUCAGGGACUUACGAGACGUCGAUGUAAUAUGUGAGUGGGCAGUUUUGUUUUCCGUAUAUAUAUAUACUUGACGCUUUCCCAGAAAUUGAAUUAGAAUGAAAUUAUGUUUUAAAUGAAAGGUAUAUAGAAUGAUAUGAAAACGUGAAUUGAAAGAUCAUGCAUAGAAGUAUAUGAAAUAUAUAUGGAAAUGUAAAUUGAAUUGCCAUGCAUGAAAUGAUAUGAAAAGUAUGAUUUGAGAUAUAUGAUGCAUAUGAAUGAAUGUUGCGGCGGACGCACAGGUGAGUAUCAGGUGAGUAUUUAAUUACUGUUAUGAUGAUGUUGAUGUAUAUUGAGCUCAAAUCCUGCACCUUGGUUUAGUGCUUAUAGUAUUCACCGCAUCGCACGCUCGCCUUGGAUCCAAGUAGAUGCUGGUCGCACAGUCCACGCGGAGUGGGUGCGACGGGCCAGUCGAAGAGUGUUAGUGAGAUUUCGACUGGUGGGUGACCUUAGAUUAUGUGCACAGAUGAUUAAUGAGAAAGCACUAGAGCGUAACUUGUGUGCAGAAGGCCGGACGGGUCACAGAGGUGACUCCGGUAGAGUGAUAGUGAUAGAUUUUGAGCUCUAGGUUCAACCGUACAGGCUAUUAGAGGGCCUCCGGUUGAUUACUUUCUUGCACCUGAUAUGAUUAUUGUUGAUGCAUCCAUAUUUAACUGUUGAAUUAGACAUGGCAUGGCAUGAUUGAUAAAGAAAAAUGUUGAGAUAGUAAAAAUGAAGUUUUGAGAAUAUAUAUGUAUAUUUAUAUUUUACAUUCUGGGAAAGUAUACAGGUUUUACAGAGAGGGGUUACAACGUUUUGAGAAAUGUUUGGAUUUGGAAAAGAAUUGUUUUACUGACCCACUCAAUUUUGGUUUUGCGCCCCUCCAGGUUAAAGAAUAGCUGAGGUGUGGUGGCUACGAGGAAUUCGACGAUGUUCUGACAGAUUGGACAAAAUUAGGACUCACCUUCGGGUGUAUCAACUUAUAAAUUGUAUCUUAAAGCUUCCGUACUGUGCAAAUGGUUACGUCACUCUCACGUGACGGCCAGCAUGCCCUCCUUCGGGACGGGGUGUGUCAUGGUAGGCUUGGGCCUACCCUGAAUUUCUUUUUCUUAUAAAUCUCUACUACUAUUAAUUAAAUUUUAUAAUACCACUAUUAACUUAAAUUUGUUUUGUAUUGGUUAGUCCAAUUAACCUUAAUCCAACAAAUAUAAAGCUUUUAAUUUUUGAACUAAAGUCCAAAACUAUAAUUCUAUAAUAAUUUUAGUUGACCAUAUUUUCUGUUUCAUGCCUAUAAAUAAUAUUUUUCCUUUACUUGCAGACUAUUAUUUUGGUUAAUUUCUCAUUUCUCUCUAUUAUAUCAUCUAUGAAAUCAAGAAGAGAAAAAGUUUUUGUGUCAUAAAAAAAAAAAAAAACCUUUCAAAUUCUCUUAUGCCUUAUGUUUUAACCAAGGUAUAAAAUAUCGAUGAUAUCGGAAAUAUCGGUAGUCCAAAAACACGGAAAUUUCGAUAGAAAUAUCGUGAUAUUAUCGAUAUCGAUAAAAAUUGAAUAAAAACCACGGAAAUUGUAAGAAAAACUUGGAAAUUUUAUUGAAACUUUGCAGGAUAUUUAUUUAGUCAAUUAUUUAUUAGUUUAUCACAAAAAAUUGGAAGAAAAUGCAUUGCAUGAUGGAUUUAACUGAUUUAAGUUGAUUAUACAGCGAGCUGGCAAACAUUGUGAGUGUAGAAAAUAUGUAGUAAUUAAUGAAAGAAGUUUAAACACACCAUAAUCAUUUAUAUAUAAUGAAUUAGUACAAUAUUUUACACUUUAUACAUUACAUAGUAAGAUACAUGAGUGACUUACUACCACAUAAAGUUCCUAUGAGGUUCAAAAUUUUCACUAUCUUCAUCAUCUCUAUGUGUAGAGUAAGUGUAUUGUGAAGAGUAGUCAGCAACCAUGGCAAUUGUGAAGUGUAGUCAGCAACCAUGACAAUAGCUUUCAAGAACCAAAACUCAAAAGUCAAUAGGAAACCGAAUACUUCGGUAUUUUUCGGGAUUACCAAACAAAUGGGAUUUGGAAACCAAUCCCAUAUCGAAAAUUUGGGUAUUUUUCGAGAUGGGAUUCCCAAACUUCAGGAUGGUUUUGGUUUGGGAUUUUUCGGUUUGGGUUUGGGACUUUUUUUAUUUGGUUUGGGAUAUUCGGGAAUUUUUUCCGGCCCUACCAUGUAAGUGACCAAAUAAAAAAUUAAAAAAUUAAAAACCACAUGUCAUUGACUAAGUAAUUAAUUGACACAAUUUAAAAUAUAAUACCACAAAAAAUUUGGAAUAUGUGCAAAUUUGUUUCUUGUAAAAAGAAUUGAAAACAAAACCAUAUAUUAUCACAAAAACAUAAGUGAUAUGGUGGUUAAGGCGUUGAAGGAGUCAAAUGGGAGGGGUUCGAAUCCCUCUAUGUGCAAAAUUGAGACUUUUCAGAAAUUUUCAAGUAUUUUUGGAUUUCAUAUCGUGAUAUUAUCGCGAUGUAUUAACGAUAAUUAAGGGGAUAAGUCACGAAAUAUCGUCAUCUAAAAAAAACGAUAAUAUCUGCGAUAUUUCACCGAUAUUUUCGAUAUUUUGGUCCUUGGUUUUAACAAAGGUGUAGCCAUUCACUACUACGGUCUGGUGGUAUUCCUCUUCACUUAGAAGUAAGAGGUCUUAGGUUCGAAUCUCGUAGAAGGUGAAUUUGAUACCAAAUUAGGCUACCUAUUGUAUGGAUUAGCCGAACUCCCCCUCCCUUUAGUGUAAAAAUAUCGAUGUACUCAAAAAAAAAAAAAAAACAAGGGUGUAGGCAUUUGUGUUUACAAAAGGAAUGCUUGGUCACUAACAUUAAGUUUAAUAUCAAGAAUGAACAAUAAAUGGAUGCGCUUUUAAUGUUUUAUUCUCAACUCUUGAUAUUAAAUUCAAUUGUAGUUACCCAUGUAUUCUUGGUCACCAAAAGAACGAGACUGUGUUUCUAUAUGUAUUAUGCCCAUUUCAAUCUAAAGCGUGCCCCUCCUAACAUGAAUUUCUGGCUCCGUCACUAAUAACAGACAAAGAGGGAGAAGUAUGAAGAAAGAACAAAAGAGGGAGGAAAUGGGAGGAAGAGGAAGAUAGGCGAUAGAAAAUUUUCUUUUGAAAUCGGAUCGAUGUAAAAUGUGCUUUUGGAAUUAGGACGAUGGAAAGAGAGGCGUCGGCAGGACUAGCAAUACCCUACUGGGAGCACGGGACUAGCUAUAUCACGUUAGUGAGGCACGGAAGGCGAGCGAGUCGCACCUAGUUUUAUUUAUUGUUAGUCUGUGACUUACCAAACAUGAGAUUUUAGUCCAACUUAAGUCAGUAACCCCUAAGGAGGUGUAACAAACGGCCCCUUGUACUUUGCUAAUACCUCGUCGAAACACAACAUAAAAGUGUUGUUUUCAUAGGAACAUUUUUUUUAAAAGGCUCUCUAGGUUAAGAAAACCCUAGGAGAGCGACAAGAACUUCCCAACAGAAAUUCUAGAUUUCGCCGAAUUUGAUUGCUCUGUCGCCUUGUUGCGGUGAGAGAUGGCUCUAAGUGAGUCCUAUUACUUUAUGGUAUGGUAUAACAUCAAGAGAUUCUCUGCACAAUGUUGUGGGUUUUGUGUGAGAAGGUGGUCAUGGAUGGUCAGUAGCCUCAUCACUAUGGAGGAUAUUGUCACAAGUUUCUGGAAGGUUUGGGAUAACAGAGGAUGAACAGAAGGUGAUCUUUGUUGACAAACAGAAGACAUUGGCCUUGAAGUCAAAUAAGGUUUUUCUUGUGGGCAUGGUCCUUACAUAAAAGCCGAUGAACAACGAGAACUUCAAAUGACAGAUGAGGAAUAUGUGGAGACCUAAAACUAAUGUUCUUAUCUUCGAACGGGAGAAUGAUAGGUUUGCUUUUGGAUUUAACUCGAGGCAAGAGCGUUCCAUGGUGCAAAAGGGAAGUCUUUGGUUAUACAAUAAGCAAACUUUGUUAGUCCUAGAUGAGGCAAAUGAUGUUACACGCCCGGUUACAGUUGCUUUGAAGUUUUCAAGAAUUUUGGAUGCAAAUCAAAAGGGCUUUCUUUCUGCUACAUGAUGAGACAAAUGAGCUCAUUCCUAGGAAAUUUGUUGGGUGAGUAUGUGUUAACAAAUCAAAGCCGGAAGAUGAGCAGUAUGGUAGUAUUUUGCGCAUACAUGUGAAGAUUGAUGUCACUAAGCCUUUGCGCCAGUGUGUGGCUAUUCAAUUGGAAGGACGAGUGGUGGAAGUUGACAUUUGUUAUGAGAAGUUGCCCCUUACAUGUUUACUUUGUGAGAUGAUGGAUCACGUUAAGGAACAGUGCAAUAGGUUUAAGGGUGCUUGUGUUGAUGAUCAUGCUAAACCUUACAGAAAGCCGGUUGGGAAAAAGUAUGGUCUCGGGUAAGAAGGAGGUUGGUCAAUGAAGGCACCUGGGUCUGAGGUGGGUGAAGAUGAUGAGAACUGAUCGAGUUAAAGGCGUCAGAGUUGGGUUGGCAGGGAGAAUUGGGUACCGCCGAGAUGGUGUAGGUUUCCUAAGAUAUUGCAAAUACAUAUGUUGUUUUUGGAAAUAAUAUAGCAUUAAGUGUAGGCCGCCAUUCUAGGGAAUCUCUCCUGGAUCUUAAUGAAAUGGCUAUUGAUGAUGAGAUGCUGAGUGAGAACCCCUUAGCUAUUAUGCCUUAUGAAGCCCCACAUUUUAAUUAUGCAGGUCAAUGCUUGGAGAGGGUUGGCUCUUCCAUUCCAACCUAUCAUUCAGUGCCGCAAUCCCCUAUCCCUUUUAAUGGUGUUAGGAUUUUUGGUACGUCAUUAACGCAAUAAAUAUCUCACCAACCGCAAAGGAUUCAGGAUGGGCCCUAUCUUGUAGGUCUGAGUGAUGUGGCCUUGUAGUUGGGUCCAAGUUUGAUGGGGAAUGAAGAGUUAAGGGUCCAGAGACAUGUGGAUUUAGGGAGAGCCCAGUCUAAAAUGUUCGUGUGUUCAUUGGGGUCAAACCAUUUGGCUUAGCACCAUUCAUAUAUGGUGAUGGGGAAACAGGAAGAGGUAAGAAGCACAAGGUUGGGGUGGCCCAAAGAAAGAAAAGUAGAAGCUCUAAAAGAGGAAAAAAUAAAUUGCCAGACCUUCGUAAGAGGACAAGUCGGGAUAAAGGUUUGGAAAGAGAAUCACCAAUAAUGAGGAAGUGUUUUGUUGAUAAUGCACCAAUGAGUUUAACAACGGUGGACCUGACAUGUAUCAUCCCCGUCGAGACCAAUGAGUUGCAUAAGUUGGAAUUGCUAGGGGCUUGGGAACCUCCGAGUAAUUCGUGCACUAAAUAUGCUGGUCCUUGCUAAGACCCUAUGGUGAUUUUUCUAUGUGAAACGAAGAGCUCGAAAGGGUAUAUGGAAAGAUUAAAAUCACAGUUGAAUUUUGAUUGUUUGUUUUCAGUACCAAAUAGAGGUAGUUCAGGUGGUUUGUGUGCGAUGUGGAAGGAGGAGGCCAAUUUGUCUUUACGGUCUUACUCUAAUAAUCACCUGGACUUUGAUGUUGGAGGAAUGAGGGAGCCUAAUCAGUGAAGGCUCACCUGCUUUUAUGGUUUCCCUGCGGAGGUUGAUAGACAUACGUCCUGGAAUUUACUUGGGCAACUCUGAGCUAAUUCUUCACUACGCUGGUGUUGCAUUGGUGAUUUUAAUGAAGUAAUUAAUGCAGAUGAGCAAGAAGGUGAUAAUCUACGUUGUGAGCGACAGAUGGAGGGGUUUCAUAAUCGUCUCUUACAGCGUAAUUUGAUUGAUUUGGGCUACUUGGGUAACAAGUUCACUUGGGCUACAACACGAGGAGGAGGUAUUAAAGUGAUAAAUAUGCACUAAUAUGUAGGCCACAUUUGCACAACAUUGAUAAAUAUUAUAUAUUUAAAAAUAAAAAAGUAUAAAUUGAUAAAGUUGCAAAACAUCAAAAAGCAAUAAAGCCCCUUUUGAAAACAAUCUGAGUGAACUGUUGUUUGGCCUUACACAAAGUUAUAAAAAGAAUAUGAUACCAGAUGCUUGGAAUUUAAGAUAAUAAUAUUAUAUUAGGACAUCCUUGGCCGUUAGAUAAGAUGUGUGUUAGCUGGAGGCACUGAAUCCGACGAAUUGGAAACGUAUUGGAAGCUUCGACUGACUCAUUUUUCACGAGGGAUUAUUAUCAGUGUAUUUUUGUUCUUCACUCUCAAACGGUAAUAAUACUUGCUAUCAUAUUUAUCACUGUUAAAUGAUUUUAAAUAAAAUUUGCAUCUAUCUACUACGUAAAUUUUAAAAUUUAAACUCAUAUAACGAUAAUAAAUAAGAUCGUAAAUAUACAUCAUAAUUUAUAAUGAUGAACAAAAUUGCUCUGUUGUUAUAACAUGGGAGCCAAAAGUGGGUUGCAAAUUUUAAUAAGGACAUUUCUUUAUUUGUAUUUAUUUUUGCGUGAGAAUAAAACAUUUCAAAAAACAAUAGUUGUUGUGGGACAUAUUUAACUGACUAAUAUAAAAAGAGAAAAGGGAGGUGCAACAGAGUUUGAUGUGAUUUUGAGGUGUGUAGUUUCUCACCUUAUUGUGUCCAUUUAUAUUAGUAGGAAAAAUAAAAUCUUUACCCAAUAAGUAUUACAAAUAUUAUAAAAAAUUAUAAAAUAUGACAGAAUGCCAUAAAAAUUUCGUAAGAUUUAUACAAUCAUAUUCCUAACUAAAUCAAAACUGCAACAACAUUAAUAUUUAUCAUUUUUGUUUUGUCAGAUGGAAUACUAGUAUUUCUAACACUUUGUUUUGUUUAUCAUAUAUUUUGGAAAAAUAAUUUUGGUGCCCACAUGCCAACAUCAUUUUUGUCAAUCAAUUAUAGAACGUGUAGACAUGAAAUUCAUAUAAAAAAAAAGAAAAAAAAAGUAAAAGUAAAAGAAAAAAAAAACAAAAUUAUGUUGUAAGCUGUAGAUGGUAAAGUAAAUUGGACUAUGCUACAUAGUUAGAGUUCCAUAAAAAAAAAAAAAAAAAAAAAAUCAGUUUGAGGUUGUUGGGUUUGUAUUUUAAUCUUUCCAAGAGACUUUGUAGUUUCUUUUGCAAGUAUGAGUAUCCCGCUUUAUGCCGCAAUGUGGUUAAUUAUUGGUGUUGGAACUCUAUGUAUUUCUAUUUGCUGGUUUGCAUGUGAUUCUAUACAUAUCAUUUUAACUUUGAGAAAUAUUAAGGAGACUUUUUAAAAGUUGGGCUUUUCAUGGAUUUUUCGUCACUUCAUGUUUUUGGUAUAAUUUCCGUGCCAACAUUAUAAAAACAUACAUUGUACUAAAAACAUAGUCACUAAGUACUACAGUCUGGUUGUAUUCCUCUUCACUUUGAAAUGAAAGGUCUUAGGUUCGAAUCUCGUGGAUAAUGAAUUUGAUACCAAAUUAGGUUGCCCAUUAUGUGGCUUAGCCGAACUCUCCCUCCCCUUAGUGUAAAAAUAUUGAUGUACUAAAAAAAAGGUAGUGAAGAGUCAAUUUUGAGAGUCUCCUUAGUAUUUCUCUUUUAACUUUGCGUUUGAACUCGUCACGAAUGUGGUAUGGAAACUGAUGAGGGGCGAAAGUUUUACCCAUAUUUGAUGUCUUGUUUGCUUUUAAAAUUGAUGUCUUACAAUUGAAAUAAUUUUUUUUUGCUAAUUAAACGAAAUAAUAUUUCUAUAUAAUUAAAUAGUUGAGACCAACCCAAAUGAAAGGUGUUCUCAUAAUAUAUAACCUUGAUUACGUAGAGAUAAGAUACUCAUGUGCUCAUAUUCCUUGGAGUAUCCAAAGAAUUAUGCUAACUAGAUGGACUUGACUUGAGCACCAACCAGCUUAACCUAUGUACACUAUAUGUCUGUCAUGAUUACUAUAAAUAGAGGUUAUGAGGUGAGGGUUAGAGGAUUUCCUUGCAAUCGAAAUUUAUAGAGGAAUUUCUCCCUCGUAGCCUUGUCACAAAAAUCUCUUUAUACGUUCGGUUCAUCACAGUAAAAGCGGAGACCUAUAGGGAAAACCUAGAGGAAACUCGAUGUAGCUAAUUCAUCGCACGGCAUCCUAAGUCUGUACAUGAAAGCUCUAAUUUUGUGCAUUCUUGUUCGUGGUUUGUAGGAUCAUGUAGGAGGGCUGGUAGUCUUAAGGCGAGGAGCAAACUCGGUGUAUUCCACCAAGAAAGAUCCUAAUCUUGAGUUACAUGUAUGUCACGAAUAUAUGCACGAAAAUCACAAUAUCCAUCAUAAAAAAACUCAAAAUCACGUUAUUUUAAGUGGUUUGAUUUUUAGGUGUUUAUUAAUUGGGAUAUGUUCUUCCAUAUGAGAUGAACUUAUCCUCAAAAUGUCAUGCAAAAAGAUGCCACAAUUUAAGGGUGUGUUUGUUUGGCCUCGUUAAGUUUCACUAGAUUGGCUAGGAUUACUAAUUAAUGAAAUCCCAUGUUUGUUUGCAAGGGGACUAGGUUUAAUGAGACUAAAGGGGACUCGCCCAGACUAAACGCCUCACUAGGCGGUCUUAGCGAGCCCUGUCCCUCCCUCCCUGGAAACUGGGUGGAUUGCUAAGACCAGCUCCACUUUGCCCCUCCUCUGUUCACCCCUUCGUGAGUUCUCCACUUUGUAUCUGCCGACUCCUAUUUUUAUUUGUUUUUCCAGAUAACUCAUCUUUCAGCGAAGUUGCCAUGGAUCUGUGGUUAGAAACUCAUUUCCCAGAAAACCCCUCUUCCUAGAAAACUCAUUUUCUCUCAGAAACUCGUUCUCUAAGAAAUUCAUUCCAUGGAGUUUUGUAAACCCAUUUUGUGGAAUUUUGCAGUCUAUCCCUUUUCAAAACCAAAUUCAACUCCCAAAAUUUGAACCCAGAAAAUCCAAAAAAGUCAGAAAACUAGAAAACCCAAAAAAAGCUAGAAACUGAGAAAACCUAAAACCAAAACCAGAUCCAACCCCCAUCUCCCACCUUCGAGCUAAUCACAUAUGCACCCCGCCUUAACUCCUAAAUUUUCAUUAUCCUUCUUGCUCUUUGGUUUUAUUUUAAGAAUUGCAAUGGAUUUGUUAGGAAACAAAGAGGCAGAGAAAGAGAUUGCAAAGUGGCAGAGAGAGAGAGCGCUUUGCAAAUUAUCUAGGUUCUCGUCUUCUGAAAAGUAAUUGGCAAACUUUUAGGUGAAACGUUAACUAGGCUUCUAAAAAUUAAAUAACUACUAAAUAAUAUUUUAUAAUAUAAAAUUUGUUUGUUUAUUGUUUUUCAAGAUAAAAGUAAAUUAAAAAUGAUAAAAAAAUAAUUUGGAUCCUAAAAAUAAUUUAGUAUAUAGUUUAGUCUAGACACUUCACUAUCCUUAUCCAGUUUAGUCCAAGCCAAACCAGUCCAACUUAGUCCCGGAAGUUAGUUUAGUCUGAAAUUGCCUGGUGCAACAAACGCACCCUAAGUGAACUCACAUAUCCUGGCGACAACUGGAGGCAUAUCGGGCCAUAUUUUUAGACACCCAUGGCAAAUGAACAAUCUUACAAUUAAUAUUUAUGUAUUUUGUUUUGAGAAAAUGCAGAUGGUUUUAGAGUUAUUUAAGAAAAACAGUUUCUUGUUUCGGUACUGAAUUUUUAUUUAAAGUAUCAUAUUUAUUUAAAAUAUCAUGUUAUUUAUGCUCUAAAAACACUACCAUUGAUUUGGAUUGAUAAUAUAUCUUUAUUUGGAAUGAUUAUCUCCUUCAUUGGAAUUUAUAUUCUCUUUUUUUUUUAUUAAUUGAUUAUUUCAAUUAUAAUACAAUCUUUAGAAUAUUUUGUUGUGUAAACCACCAUGUGACCAGUGGUUGGGGACCAAUUCUAAGCCCGUCUUUCACACUGCACGUCCUGAUUCGAUUCGCGAGGGUGGCGAAUAGCAUGACGGGAUGGUGAAUCGCACGAUGGUGGCCAGGGGUGGUUGAACCGUCUUUCACACGGCACAUCCUAAUUCGAUUCGCGAGGGUGGUGAAUAGCAUGACGGGAUGGUGAAUCGCACGAUGGUGGUCAGGGGAGGCUGAAAUGCCUAUGUGAGUCUUCCCAUACCCCUGAAGUGUGGAUUGCCUUGGCGACGCCACCAGCUGAUCCUUUUUCAGAAAAAAAGAAAAAAAAAUUGUUGUGUGAUUAUUCUUGUGCUUUUAGAUGAAUGAAAGAAACCAAAAACUCUUUUAUAGUAUUCUUGAUUCCUAGUUAUUAUCAGGGUUUUGAUACUCGUAUCAUUUCUUCUCUGGGAAUCCAAUUUAUUCCUCGCAAGGCACCAACUAUCCUUUAUGUGCUUUGGUCUUCUCCUUGGUUUCCUUGGAUUAAACUUCAUACAGAUGGUUUGUCUAAAGGAAAUCCUGGUCGUCUUGCUUGUGAAUGAGUUUUUUGGGAUUGCCAUGGUCAGUUUCUUGGUGGUUUCUGCCAAAGGAUUGGUCACUGCAACUUUUUUUAUGCAGAAUUAUCAGCAGUUAUUAUUGGUGUAGAGUUUGCAUAUCAGUGUGGUUGGCAUUGUCUUUGGUUGGAAAGUGACUUUCUAGUGUUAUUUCUGCUUUCCAAUCAACUGAUUUUGAUCAUCCUUGGCCUCUUCGUACAAUGAUCUAUUUGUUUGGACCGCAUUUGGAAGAUGACUUUCAAUGCCUCUCACAUAUAUCGUGAAGGAAAUGUAGUUGUGAAAUUUUUUGCUAACAUGGGCUUGUCUUCUCCAACUUUGGUAUGGCAUGAUUCCCCUCCGAUUAUGGUUCGUGCUGCUUUAUUUUCAGAUAAUAUGUUGGCUUUCCUAGUUUCCGCUUCUCAAAUUAAUAUGCAUCUUGGCAUACAGGUUUGUCUCACUUUUUUUUUUCUUUUUCAUGUUCCUUGUUCUGUUUUGCAAGUUUAGAACUUCAGGUUCUGCUUUAGAGGAGUUAGGUUUCAUUCCCCCCCUUUUCCUUGUAUCUUUGUUGUUUUUGUUUCUAGAAGGGUAAGGUUUAUGUCCACCCUGUUAUGAAACUCUAAUUGUGGAUGCCAUAUAUGGAUUCAUAAACUUGCCACCCAAAGUGGAUGUUUUAGGUGAAAUAGUAAGUGUGGAAUCCAUUAUGUAGUAAGUGUGGUAGGUUUUGAUUUGAUAUUUUGCCUAUUCAUUUGUCUAUAUAAUGAAGGCCAAAGUAUGAGAACAACACAUCAAUAAGAUGAAGUUAUGGAGGAAAUGAAGGAAAGGAAGAAGAUGGAAAUAAUAGAGAGAGUCAUCCUUAUACUCCUAUUACUUUAGAUAAUAAGGAAAGUACUAUUGCUGCCCCAAUGACGUACUCCACUUACACUGACUGUUGAGGAACCUCGUAAAUAUUGUGUCUUAUUUCAUUUAUUCCACUACACACAUACCGCCAAUUUCACAACAUGUUAUUAGCAUAAAAAGCUCUUGUGUCAAAGGAAAGCACAAUGCCACAAAUCCGAUGAAGCACUACCUACCUCUCACCUCUGUCAGUUGAAAUCUCACAGAAGAAAAAAGGGUACAGACUCAAAAGUCGUAGAAAAACUAAUAGCCAUGCAAACAGCAUCUGAACUCCAACUUCCAGAAAUCUGAUUGAAAUACUUCCUUUUUGAAAGUUGUUCAUUCGCCUAGUACCUAAAACAUAUCAAAAUUUCAGAAAAAUCAAAUGGUGUGAUCGUUGCAGAUGUUUAAAAACCAAUCCAAUUUCUAAUCUGCAGAAAACUGGACAGCCAUCUUAUAAGUAUCAAAAUUCCAUUUUCAAUAGCUCAGAUCGAAAUUGUUUCUUCACAAAAGUUGUUCUUUUUCCUCUUGUCCAUAUUAUACUAAAAUUUGAGUCAGAUCUAAUAGUUUGAUCCUCUCAUAAGGUGCAUACACUACUCUUGACACCAAAAUUUACGGGAACCGUUUCGACUCUUUCGAAACUUACUGGAGGAGGAACACAAACUCGGACAUAUUGUUAUUGUCACUUCCUGGGUAACUAAAAAGACUUAGAGUUGUGAAAAAAAAAACUAAAAUAAAAUAAAAAGGAUGAAACAAAGGAAGUGGCAUACAAAGAAAAAGAAAAGAAGAAUAAAUGAUGGAGACUUAAUCAUCACCUUUUUUUUUUCUUUCUAUUUUUGACAUAUUUAAAUGAAUGGUGCUGGUUCAAAGCUAUUGUCACAAGCUUUAUUUACUUAAAGACAAUUUAUUUACCAUGAUUUGAAUUACUGUCUAUUGCUUUAAUUUAUUUAUUGUACUUACAUUUUGUUAUAAUGAGUAUAUAUGGAACAUGGAGUUUCUUGAUCCUCAUCAUAUAAAAUGAUUGGACUUGAAGUUCCAUCAUAUAAAAGAUCGGACCUGAAGUUCCUUAAUCAUCAUCAUCAUAAAAAAAAAAAUAAGGCAUAAAGUCCCUUGAUCCUCAGAAUACAAUAAGAUUGGACAUGAAGUUCCCUGAUAAGUACCAUAGAUUUGAAAUGCCAUAGUGCCACAACUUAAUUGUAAUAAAGGCCAUAAGAGCCUCAGUCCAUAGACUUUAAAUAAGGACCAAAAGUUCAUUGAUUCGUAUAAAUGAUGAUAUAAUCCAUGUACAAUUGAGUACAUGCAUGAAUUCCAAAAAUAUGAAUUAAAGAUAUUAGGAAUAAUUAUGGACUAGUCCAACCAAAAUGCGGAUCAUUUCAAUAUUUUAUGGUCUUGAUGCAUCUACUCAAUGGUCACAUGUUUGCUUAUUGUCUACUCGAAAUGUAGCAUUUGCGAUACUCCUUGCUCAAAUAAUUAAAUUACUAGCACAAUUCCCAGAUUAUCCUAUUCAACUUGAUAAUACUGGAGAAUUUACUUCUCAAACUUUUUAUGAUUAUUGCAAAACUAGGCAUUGAUGUUGAAUACCAUGUUCCUCAUGUCCAUACUCAAAAUAGUUUAGCAGAGGCAAUUAUUAAGCAGCUAAAAUUGAUUACCCGUGCUCUUCUCAUGAAAAUGAAAUUACCGGUUUCUACACGAGGACAUGUCAUUUUACAUGAUGCAUCAUUAGUUCAAUUGAGAAUUGUUGCCAACCAUCAAUACUCCCCAGUACAAGUCGUAUUUGGGCACUAGCCAAACAUUACACGUUUACGAGUAUUUUGGUUGUGUUGUCUAUGUGCCUAUUACACUGUCACAAUGUACUAAGAUGAGGCCUUAGCACAAACUGGGAAUUUAUGUUAGAUUUGAUUCACCAUCUAUCAUUCGAUAAUUGGAACCCUUGAAUGGGGACAUGUUUACCGCUAGGUUUGCGAAUUGUUACUUUGAUAAGACAGAUUUCCCAUCAUUAAGGGGAUAAAAGACCGUUCCAGAAGAACGAUGAGAAUUCACUGAGAUGUACCCACCUUGUUUUAUUUUAAUUCACGAAGCAAUCAAUGUGAAAAUGAAGUAAGAAUAAUUUUUCAUCUUCAAAGUAUUGCUAAUCAAAUGCCAGAUGCAUUUAAUGAUGCAACGAAAGUGAUAAAAUCACAUAACAGCUGCAAAUAUGCCUACAAGAAUUGAUGCCCUUGUUGGACAAAAUAAUGUGGCAACAAAUUAUUCAUCUGUUGCACGCCUGAAGCGUGGUAGAUCCUCAAACUCAAAAGAUUCAGUCAUUCAAAAGAGGAAGAAUAUGGCACUACUAAACUAUUGCAUUCCCGAAGCAUAACUAUUGCAUGUUGGAAGAAUGAUAGUCGCCGCAUGGAUACACGUCCUAAAAGGAUUGCGUGGACAUGGCAAUUUUGAUGUCUCAUGCAGGAAGUGUGAUAGAUCCCCUUUAAGCAUGUGCAACUCUCUAUUCCCGUGCUUGAUCCCCUUUAAUUUAUUGUCUAAGGCUUGCCACCUCAGCCAUUAAUGAUUAAACUUGGCGAGUUCGAGCAAAUAGACGUUGACCCAUAUUGGGUACAGAGCUCGCACACUGAAUACUGAAAGCCAGAGAGUCUUAAAUAGCUAAUUCAUCUGAUUGUUUUGAAAGUAUCCUUUUAUCAUUGCCUAGCUAACGGCUCUAUCAUUCUUCAUCAUAGAGUCCCCAACCGUAAGAGGACCGUUAGAGGAAGAUGGUUGCCAGAAAUUAUUUUGAGAAAGCAUAUCUGCAUCUUCCGUAACAUUGAAAUCAAAAUAAUGGUAAGAUGGACAAGCCAUUUUUAGAAAUGAUGAAAGAAAAUGAGGUCGGAUAAAGAGAAAUCUCAGAGGCAAUUUUCACAAGAAGGCAACUUUCUGAGAGUGUUUUUUAGAUAUAAUUGAUGCCUUUGAAGAAGCAAUGUAUACCCAUCUUCUAAUUUCAAAAGUAUUGCAUCAACACGCAUCAUUCUAAAGAAUUUGAAAUCAGGGGGAGCAUCCACAAACAGAUCAAGAUUUUAACAAGGCAAUUGUUGUUGAUAUAUUGGCAUCUAGGGAGAGUGUUAUGAAAUUCUAAUUGUGGAUGCUACAUAUGGAUGCGUAAACAUGCCACCCAAAGUGGAUGUUUUAGGUGAAAUAGUAAGUGUGGUGUCCUUUAUGUAGUAAGUGUGGCAUAUUUUGAUUUGACAUUUUACCUAUUCAUUUGUCUAUAUAAUGAAGGCCAAAGCAUGACAAAAAAACAUCAAUAAGAUGAAGUUAUGGAGGCAAGGAAAGAGAGGAAGAAGAGGGAAAGAAUAGGGAGAGAAUAAGGAGAGUUAUCUUUGUACUCCUAUUAUUCCAGAUAAUAAAGAAAGUACUACUGCUGCUCCAAAGACGUACUUCAGUUGCACUGAUUAUUGAGGAACCUCGUAAAUAUUGUGUCGUAUUUCAUUUAUUCCACACAUAGCGUUGAUUUCACAACACUCCUUUUCAUGUAUUUUUUUAUCCUUUUUUCUUCUAUUAUGAGGGGUUAGGUUUAUGUUCCUCUUGACUAGGUGUGUACAAUUUUUUCAAUAUCAAUAAAAUUCUUCUCAUACCAUCGAGGUUUAGAAAAAAAUAUACAAAUCAAAAUUCCGGACAAUGAAUCUUUAAAAAUUAUUUUCUGACGGAUCAAAUAAAGGGAGAUAAGAGGAACAAGACCAUCACCUUUUUAAGCUCUACCUUGACCUUCAGUAAGGUUGUUUACCCAAACGAUCUCUCUACACCUUCUAAACAAGAUGAGUGAUGAAAUUGACAGAGAAGCGAUAAGCAAGCACACUCUAGUUAGAGGCCAAUUUUGAUGUUAGGGAUGAGAAAUCUAAUAUCUCCUCUCUUGCGAAAAUACUUUCUUAGAAGUCCCUUUAAAAACUCACUUUUGAAAACUCUCUAUUUUUUUUUUGUUUUUUAAUAAAAGUGCACACUUGAACCAGCACACCCAAAGUGCGUAAAUAUUUAUAAAGGUUUGUGUCACAACACAAAGCCUAGAAAAUAUCUUCUCAAAAUCUAGUCAUAUAAUAUAUUUGGGCCUUAUUUCAGUCAGCAUGUUGGAGGCACCCAAGUCCUCAGCAUGUUCGAAGCAUCUUACUUGAAUGGUUAUAAUUAUGUCAUGUCAACAUCUUUUAUUGAUUUUUUUAUAUAGAAAUAAUAAGACAGAAAACAAAGUGUGAGAGGAGGGGAGGAAAUGAGGUUCAAAUGGUGUUGAAGGAUCAGGAGGCUGAAUUAAGCAACAAAAAGCUCGUGUUGCUUGCGAGACAAGUUUUGAAAGAAUAAGGGUUUGAGCAGCACCCUUUUCUCUACUGCAAUGAUGAGAAUGUUGAUGCUACUGUCUUGUGGCAAUCUCAGACUAACUCAAGCCUAUGAAACAUAUACUGGCUAUGAUCUGAGUUUUCAAAAAAAUAAAGUAUAUUAUUUAUUUUUUCGUUGUACAAAUAAAGAAGGCACUGAAAUUGCUGCUUUCUAGUGGCAACUACAAAGCUCAAGUUUAUCAAAAUCGUCUGUAAAUCUGUUGUUUCUUGUUCAUCUCAAUUCGGCAUCUAUCGAGUUCUUCAGUUGAAUAAAUUUUGUAUUCGUUACGUCAACAUUAAAGAACAAUCACAGAGCUUCUUCCAUUUAAUAUUCAAGAAAAAAAUGUAGCUAUACAAAAGUAAAAUGAAAAAUGUAUCCAAAGCCAAGCAAAAUUACACAAAAUGUAUGAAACCAAAAACAAAAAACACGACAAAAAGAGAGGACAAAUUUUGUCUCUCUAACUUUAACUGUAAUAUUGUACACUCAACUAUCUAUUUAACAUUUUGAAGUUACAGUGAAAUUUCUUAUCUCCUUUGGAAGUUAAGGUACUUGAUGCCGUAGGCAAAGACGAAGAAGAAGAGGAGGACCCAACCAAGAUGAGCGAUGACAACAGGGAUCAGAAAAUCGUAGUCAAAACCUAAGUAGCUCUUGAGGAAUACAUCAAUUCUUUGUUGUUCUUGAAUUGGACUACUGACCUCGGUCUUCAUGUCACCAACUUGAGAUGUGAAGAUACCGUAAAUUGUCCAGGCAACGGGUGAACCCCAGUAGUACCACCUCCACCAGAUAGGAAUUAGCUGCGGUAUUAAGAUUUAUAUUAGGUAUACAACAGUAAUAGAGAUGAUCUGUAACAAGGUAAAUAGCGUUUAAAAGAACUCGAAAUGAGAAGAACAAUCGAGUUUGAAAUGACGUACCGGCCUAGGAAUGAGGAAGCCUGAGAACAAGUUCCAGAAACUCAAGAAGAAUGACAUAACAAUUGCAGCAAUUUGAUGGCCAGGAGUCAGGGCAACAACCAUCAUUCCGUACAUAGAGAAGUAGGUGAAGCACAUGAAGAUGAAGUAGUAGAAGUACAAAAACUUCUCCACCUUGAAAGUGUAUCCGAUCAUGAAAAACAGAAGGCAGGAAUAGAUGAAGGUUUGGAUUGCAACGUAAAUUGUCUCAAUAGCCACCUACAACACACCAAUUUACAAUAUAUAUCAAUAACAAAGAUACGAAAUUCUAAUGAUUGCACAAAAUCAAGCACAUAAUAAACAUGCAUGGCUUUCAAUAACUUACCUGAGCAAAUGCAUAAGGCAACUCUGAAUACAUUCCAGCUGCUCUUUCACGAUAGAAAACUGUUCGUUCAACCGCAACCACAGAUUGCACAGCAGAUGCAUUGCUAGCUCCAAGGAAAAGGACAGCAGAAUAGGUAGCUCCCAAAAGAUUGAUCAAGUCUUGUUGUUUGUGUCUGUUCACAAGAAUAUAUAAAGUUAAACAUUGUAUAAGUAGCAAUGUUUGGAGAAAACAUGCAACUGAAUCAUAUUUCAAAGAAAAAUGUGUGAGAAAGAUCAAGCUGAUAAUAAAGUUCUUGAACUUACAUCUUGUCUCCUUUGCCCCAGAAGAUAACACCAAAUAAUACUCCGAUGCAGAUUGUCAUGAAAAACCUAAUGGCAUUGUAUCGUGAGUUUCUCCAGUACGACCAAUGUUGUUUCCAGAAGCAUGCCUUGCAUUGUGUUACAAAGCUUUGGGAGUAUUGGGUAGGGAAAUAAAGAUCGUUGGAGCCUGGUUCUGGCAUGCUUAGUUCCUUGAUAAGUUCUUGAUUUCUCCUGAACAAACGAAACAAAAGGGAAGAAAAAAAAAAAUUAGUCCACACAGACAAGUGGAUAACAACGAUAGAAAUGAAGAGAAAACACAGCUGCAUGCAACUUACCUAUAUUGAUGAGAGUUCGCAAAUAUUUCUGCAAAGUCCACAUCAUUUUGAGCCUCAACAGCAGCCGAGCUGACCUCCAACAUCCAGGUAGCUGGAUUGUAACCCUCUUUGAUCUUUGCAACCCCUGGAAUAGCCUGCAAGAUAUUUUGUAUUAGUCAAACAAUUAAUCUCGCAGAGUAAAAUGCAUUUUGGAUUACAGGAAAUUGACCGGAGUGAUUCAAGUAGAACUUACCUCAAAGUAUUCAACAAGUUUGUGAGACUGGCGACCUAGAGGACCGGCAUAAAUCACCUGCCCUCCUCUUUUCAUCAAGAAAAGCUGCAAGGCAAAAUGAAAUCAAGGUGAAAUACCGUAAGAGAAAUAAUGAAAAAUUAUACUGGUCACAGAUUGAAAAAUCAGUUCAUACCUCAUCAAAAGCUUCAAAAAUGUCAAUGCUAGGCUGGUGAAUUGUGCAAACAACAGUUCGUCCUGUAUCCACGGUGUUUCUUACAGUACGCAUAACAAUGGCGGCUGCUCUAGCAUCAAGACCUGAGGUCGGCUCAUCCAUGAAGAUGAUGGAAGGGUUGGCAACCAAUUCUACAGCAAUAGUGAGCCUCUUUCUCUGUUCAGUUGAAAGUCCAUCAACUCCCGGAAGUCCAACUAAAGCAUUUCUCAAUGGGUUAAGCUCAACUAAAUCCAUAACCUCACCAACAAACAUCUGCAGAGUGGAAAGAAAAUAGAUAAAUGAGACUCAGCAUAUAUUUAUGGGAAUGGAACAAUUUAUGAAGAGAAUAAAUGCUAGAGUUGCUAAAAGUAUUUAUCAAUGGAAAAUCAGGAAAAUACCUUUCGUGUUUCGGUCUUGACAUCUUUAGCAAGACGCAGCCAGGCAGAGUAUAGGAGAGACUCAUAUACAGUAACAAAUGGUGAAUGAAUAUCAGUUUGUUCACAGUAACCGCUGACUCGAGCAAAUGUGGCUUGGUUCUUUGGGUAACCAGAGAUGGUAAUACUUCCUUCAAUGUACCCGCCGGUCUUUCUUCCAGCUAAGACAUCCAUCAAGGUUGUCUUUCCAGCACCGCUGACACCAACUAAUGCAGUCAAAACACCAGGCCUAAAUGCACCACUGACAUCUCGUAGAAGUUGGAGUCGGGUCUCUUCAAUCCCUUGGCUCUUCAUUUCCUGGUAAAGACACAAAGAAAGUUAGCCUAAACAAAAUGACUUUGGAAAAUGAUUAAAUUCUGGCUUUGCUUGUUUAGAACUUCAAACUUCGGAGGAAAAGAAGUACUUACGGCAGGCAUAUCCACAUAGUAAUUCACAUGGUUGAAAGCGAGUGAGAGGGGCUGGAAGGGUAAAACCAUUCCUCGUUUGGCUUGAUUAUUUCCUUGAGAAUUUCUUACUUGCAUAUCAAUACCUGUUAUUGAUCAUUAUUUAUUAGAUGAAGAGAAUAAUUUGAUAGCGAGGCUACUUUUCGAGAUGUAAAGCAUGUGCCAUCUUUUAGAAACAAACAUCCAGGUUAGGAUCCACAAGAAAUAAUAUUUUUACCUUCUGGGUUGGAUCGUCGCUUCUUAUUCCCUUCAGAGUCUUCAUCAUUCUCAAUUAGAGUUUUAGUUUCACUUAGAGCUGAAAUUGAGAUAAUAAUAAAACAGAUAAUCAGCACUUGAGCCAUUUCGGUAUCAAUACCUCAUGACAGUAGAAAAUUAUUAACUUACGAUCUAAGUAGGUCAGUGCAGCAAUAAAAAGAAGAUUGAAGAGAACAGUAAAUCCGAAGAGCGCGCCAAUACAAGUCCAAUACCAUGUCUCCGUAGUAAACAGUCCUCUUUCUCUCAGAAGUACCUUUCCAACUGUGUUUUCAGAGGCACCGACGACAGGCUGUGCAAAGGGAUUAAAACUUUCAUUAAGCUCAACCAGUUCGAUUUAGAUAUGAAACUGUUAUAAUUAUUAUUAAGAUAUAGUGAGAAUUAUAUAUACGCUUCAGUGAACUUACUUGACCCCAUCUUUUAUCAAGAAACUCAUUGAUAGCAAUUGCAUUUUGCCCAUACAUCAUAGGUGAAACAUAGUAGCCCCAUAUCAUCCAUGACUUGAUGUCAUCUGCACAAUGAGAUGGGACAUGUGAACAUUUGAUAACACGUGGAAGGGGUAUCAGUCAUCAAUGCAAUUAUUUAGAAAUCUGUACGGUGCUGGUAUCAAAUUUGUAAAUGUCCUAGCUUACUUCGACAAUGAAAUGAGAAGGAUUUCUAACCUUUAGCGACGACAAAACCUCCAAGGACAAACACCAGUAGCAAUGUAAAGGAACCAAUUGUACUCGCAACAACCUCUGUUCUUCCAAGGGCAGCAAUAAAACGGAAAAGGGAAAGUGCCACCUGAUGUACACCGAAGAAAGCCAAAAACUGUUUGAAGAACCUGAACACAUAUGCAUAAGUCAGAUUGAAGAAUAACCCGAUUGCAUAUCUUUCGUAAUUUAUUUAGCAGCACAAAAAUAAGGCUUUCGAGAAUGAUAUGACUGAUAAGAUUGAAGCUUACCUACUGGCCGCAGGUGCAAACCCGAUUGUGUAGUAUGUUAAAACAAUCCAUAUCCCAGAUUCCAUCAGUGAAAUGGGGAUUCUGGUUAGUGAAAUGGGCAAGCCAAAAGCCCAUCCAGGAUAAAACAACGCAUCCCUUUGUUUAAAGAACACAGGAAUCCUGAAAACUGUCAUUGCAAGCUCUGCCAUUCCGUUAAACAUGACGUUAAUGAGACUGAAAAACAGUGCUCCCCAGAAUUUUGCCGAAUCUUCUGCUUUUCCAGCUUUCAUUUCUGUUCUUAAGAAUACCGUCAGAGCAAUUGUAGCCAUGAUUGUUAUCUGCGUAGUUUUGAAUAUGUACACAAAAGAGUUACGCUUCAUCAGCAACCAUUCCCUUGCAAAACAUGCCUUGAAGAGCUCCAUAUUGGAUAUUCCAUACUUAUCCGUCACUAGAGCAGCAGGAUGGACUGAUCUUUUAUCGUAAGGAACUCUUAGUUCUUCCACAAGACGUUGGCCAACAUGAAAAGUGGGGAAAGCUCGAACGAAAUCAGAUACUGAAACAUAUCUGUAAGGUUGGUUCUUCUUAAACCAGUAUUGCUCUUGGUCCUUCUUUGAUGUCACUUCUUGCAAGAAGUCUGCAACACCUUUUCUGUCAGGGCAUCUGAAGCCUAUAAAUUCGAAGAACUCAAGCACAUUCUCGCGUGGACCGUGGUACACAAUCUGACCCUCAGAAAGAAGCAUAACGUCAUCAAACAGAUCAUACGUCUCAGGUGCAGGCUGCAAGAGAGAGAUCACCAUUGACACUUCCAUAAUAUGAACCAUCUGCUUCAUGAACUUGACAAUCUGAAAGGUUGUGGAACUAUCCAGCCCCGUUGAUAUUUCAUCCAUGAAAAAUGCUUUCGCAGGUCCAACCAACAUUUCUCCUGCAUACACAAUAGACAUUGCGGAUUAGAAUACCAGGUAAUAGUUUUGUAUCUUAACUAUCAUUCCUGUCAUGCGAAGCAAGACUAACAACAGUUUCUUAAAAGUAAAAGUGCCAGUUGACAGAAACCAGAUUGGUGCCUAAGUUUAUACAAAAUAUUAGAAACAUUAAACGUGCAAAAAUGACACUGUCGUUAUCUUAAACAUGUCCAAACACAAAUAGAAAGCGUAAUAUCGUGGAAUAACUCAAAUGACAUCAGUAACAUACCAGUAGUUACACGUUUCUUCUGUCCACCGGAUAUACCCCUUCUCAUGUCAUCACCCACCAUAAUGUCAGCACAGAUAUCAAGUCCAAGUAUCUGUCAGAAAAAUUAAAAGACGUUAGCCUUGUACGAUAAGAAUGAUAGAACAAGAAUACAAUCUUAUGAUUGAAUCAACAAACCUUGAGAACGUAAUCUGUGAUCAAACUAGUUUCCUGGCCAACCAUAGAUGUAGCUUUCAUGAAUGCAUCAAUUUCAGGAUCCGGUUUGAUACCUGAAUCUUUCUCCCGUCUAGACAACUCUACCAGCAAAUCAUACCUGGUUCCAACUCCCAGGCAACGUCCAGAGAAAUCCAAUGUUUCACGAACUGUCAUCUCACCAUAAUGAAGAUCAUGUUGGCUAAUAUAAGCGGAAGUUCUCUGAGGCACAAAUUCAUGGAAUUCAUGGCCACAAUAGGUCACGUUCCCAGUUACCUGUUUAUAACACAAUUUGUCAGUACAUUCGAAAAUGUAUACAUGUACCCCGCAUUAAUCAAUUGGAUAACUCUGGUCAAAUGUAAGGAGAUAGAGAAGAUGACAAACCCUUAGAUCCUUAUCGAGUUUGCCAGCAAGUGCUUUUAGCAGUGUUGUUUUUCCUGACGACGGAGGUCCAAGAAGCAGCGUCAUCCUGUAAAACAAAACAAUAAGCUUAGAAAUGAAAUUUUAAAACAAAACUACUUCACCUGAGAAGCAUACCAAAAGAAUAGCUUCCGUCUUCUUCUGACAGGAACAUGAGUUUGUUUUUUAUGAUUGACUAGUUUUUCUUUCAUUGAUGAAAUAAAACUUACACCGGUCCAGUAAAGAUUUUAGAUAUGCAUAACAUGAGCGUACCUUGACGGUUUAAUAACACCGCUCACAUCUUGGAGUAUCUUGACAACUCUUUUCUUCGAUUGUGAGAGUCCAAUCAAUCCAGCUAGUCCCUGUUCGCAAGUAUACAAAUUUAGAAAUCUAAGAUCCGCUAGCAAAGCGUUAUACUAAGAAGUAAGGUUCGGUAUUAAAAGACUUUGAGACAAUACCUCAAGCUGGUUCAAGGUGGAAUUGAGCAGAGUUGGAAGUGCUCUGGUACCAACAUAUGCAUCUCCCUCAAUUGAUAUGUUCUGGAAUCUAACCUCAACCUUAGGAACCUCAAUGCCAACCCUGUUUCCAAAUUCAAGAAACACAUUUACAAAAAUAAUCCAUGGAUAACGAGUCUCAUGGAUAACGAGUUUGAUAUCAAUUUACUCCCCCACCCCUUAUCUAAAUAUAUUGUUGUAUCAAAAUAAUAUAAGUUUCAGAUCGAAACCAUAGUUCUUUUCCUUUUCCCCAAAAUUUAAAUCCAACUUUUUUUUUCCUAUUGAUUUUCUCAUCAACCAAACAAACUACACAGAACACAAACCUGUCAUUUCUGGCUCUGAGCCUCUGCAAGAACCUUUCAUUGUCAUCCUCCACAACCUUAAGUAUGCUCUCCAUCAACUGCUUCUUGUCUUGCGCCCCAAGAUUCGCGACGUC